CCUCACAGCAAGUUGGGGCUGGGCCUGAGGGAAACAACGGAGGAAUUAAGUGAGAACAUGGGGUCUGCAGGUGGGAAGCAGAGAAGGCCAGCUGCAGGUUUACAUGUGGCAAGCACCCUGCUCUGCUAUGUGCUCCUCACCAUAAGCCGAUAGUGGUGUGAAAACCAACCAUGGACAGAAACCUCUGAAACUUGGCUAGAAUGCAAGAACGAUAGCUUCAACUAUGAGCUCCCCUGUGAUGAUGUGAUUAAGCAACAAGAGGAGAAAGGGCCCACGUGAAGUGUCUGCGGUGGUUCCUCUCUCCUCCUCUCAAUUGCUGCUACUCUUUCCUUCUCAUCCACAUACAGUAGCUGCACCAGCCUUCGCAUCUUCCCAGAACAAUCCACAGUGCUUCCACAAGAGGGUUCAGCUUCCAGAAGAGUCUUCCUUCAGAUGUUUACAUGCUGGCUUCUCCUUAUCCUCUAGUUUCCGCUUAAAUGUCACCUUUUCAAAGAGGUCUUUUCAACCACUCAAGUAAAAAAUAGAUCCACAACCCUCCUGAGCAUGGAAUUUCCCCACCCCAUUCUAUUUUAUUUUGUUCAUAGACUUAUCACUCUCUGAAAUUGUUUCCUGAUACAUUAUUCUUAUUAUGUUCUUUAUUAAUAUUUCCACUCCACUAUCUAUCUUUUGCUGCUGCUGUCUCCAGCACCUACAAUAGCACUUGGUAUUCAGUAAGUCAUGAAGCAAAUAAAAAUCGUAAGGAUUAGCAAAUUAAUUCCAUGGUGAACCAUGCAAGGAUUAGAGUUGUGAAUGAUGCAUGAUAAACAAAAGUUGAAAGUGGUCUUGCUCUUAGCUGCUCUUAGCCAGGGAAAAAUACAGAGCUGUGUUAGGGAACAGACAGAUGAGGAUGGGGAGAACAUGAGGUUAAGAAAAUAAAUGUAUAAAAUGGGCCCACUGUGCUGACUCCCAUGUGAUUUCUCUUCCAAGAAGCAAUUUACCUUCAUCCCUACCUGGCCUAAGUGGACAGGAUAUGUCACAUUCCUCAGCAAACUACCUGUGUACUGCAGGAGAAAUGCAGGCCUCAAAUAAUGUUGAUAAGAGGACCCCAAAUUACCCUGGAUGGGCAGACUUUUGUGACCAUAUCCUGAAACUCUGGGAGAUAAGGAGAGUUCCUCCUAACAAUAAAAUCUGAGAAUGUAUGGCUAAGAAUGCAAUUAGAACCAGUCGGCGUAGACCAAGGUGACCUGGAGUUGUCAUGGCAGUAGGCACUUAAAAGUCUGAUGUCAUCUUGCUAUCAGGCAAAAGUCAAGAGUUGGACCUGAGUGGGACUCUCUGGAAACUUCUAUGGGGUCCCCAAUAAAACUGGAGUUCAGGAGAGGCACAUUGUCCCUCUCAUCUCCGAGAGGACACAUUCUUUCCUUUGAGAGUGUCCCCUUUCCUUUUUCUAGUCCUUUCAAUAAACUCAUUCCUGUUACUCUGAGCAACAUGCCUGGAAUCUUUCUGGACUCGAUUGCAAGAAUCAGUUUUGAAGCUCAGGUCUUCGCACUUCCUCAGUUUCUCAGAAGGCCUCAGCUCUGUAAUCUGGGGUGCGGGGGAUGCAGUUAGUUUAUAAGAUCAUAUCACGCACUGGAAGUCUCCUCAACCGUGAGUUAGCCAAGAGCUCUUAACUGGUGAAGGGCCACAUUAUAUUGGUCCCUGCCUUCCUUCUUAGGUAUCAUAUUAAAGCACAGAGUUUUAAAAAAAGUCUGCAUGGCCUGAUUUAAGGAUGUUGGAAAUGCACUGUGCCCUGAAAGUCUCGUAUUCUUUCCUUUAUGAUUGCAUGACAAUCCACCAUGCAGAGAGUGCUGAAGGACAGCUUUAUCCUCUUUUUUACAAGACAUGAAUUCCUCGAAGGAUUAAGGCAAAGGUGGAAGGCAGGGGGUGAGGAUUUUUAGCUCAGGGCAGGAAUUGAGCCUGCAAGUAAGUUUUGUAUAGCCCAAACAAGUGUUUAAAUACUUGAGUUAUUGCCAACAUUUAAAAAUUAAGAGGUUUUCAAGUUUUAAAUAUCCUUCUUUAUGUUGAAGCCAGACCCACUUUCUCCCUUGGUGACUGUCUUGUGAAAGGUCAGGCAUCCUCGAAGGAUCUCCAAUUCUUGACUAAUUCAUGAAAUUCAUUAAGGUUACUUACAUCCCUGGGCUUUGCAACCCCUUGUUUUAGGCUACUAUCCUCCGAUGCAGAAUAAUGCUUCAGCUGAGAAAAGUUUUCUUCUCAGCAAUUUAGGCAAGACUUGUGAGUUUUGUUAUGGACAUGAGUUAUUAUUAUUAUUAUUUUUAAAUAGGGCCCUAUGGUCACCUUUAUGUUUAUCAUAGAUGAAUAAUCUGAGUCUAGGAAUUUAUAGAUCAUGUAGGUACCCAGUUGCCAAGUGAAAGAAAUGUGUUAUUUAAUCUUGGCACAAAUCUUUUGAGAAGGUAUUAUUCUCCCUCUCUUGGGUGAGGAACUGGGUUCUCAAAGACAUUAUAUGAAUAGUUAAGUGCAAGAGUCUGGGCUCUAUCUCAUUGGAAUUUAUAUUUAAGUCAAGAGCUCUCCCUUCCAUACUCUAUUGCUUCUCUACAAGAAGGAAGGAUCUGUGGAUAGCUGGUUUUGCCAUGGCCAGUAUAUUUCUCUACUCAGUUAUCUAGGCUUUGUUUCCUGGGCUCGAAUUCCAGCUGUGUUAUGGCUGAAAUGAUUGUGUAAUGUGUCUGACCUUGAUUUUGUCUCCUGGCCCACGCUCCUUUCUUGCAGGUGUGAUUCUUUAGUUUGUUCACUUUGUCUGGUUGACUCUCAGGUUUUAAUUUUUUUUUUUCUGAGUUUAUUAGAAGGCAACCCCACCCUCCCUUCUAGAUCCCAGACAUUCUAGUGGGACUGGAAGAUCUGCAGCAUGAAUUUUCCCAGGGAACUUGUUGGAAAUGCAGAAUUUCAGAUCUCUUCUCAGUCUCAUUGAAUCAGAAUCUGGCUCUUGACAAAACUGUGGUGUAAUUUUUAUACCCACAAAUGCUUGCAAAAAUCCCAAUCUCUAUGACUUUUUUCUUCAGGCAUCUUGGAAUAGAUUUCCUUGCAUCUGUGGCUACCCUAGCUAUUCCUAAUGGAUGGGUGCUAGCCAAUCAAAAAUCUUAAAUAGUCCCUUGAGUCUUUGAUGUUACCCCCUUCCCGUGCUUGCUUUACUUCUCCUUAGACUCUUCUUGGUUGCCAUACUUAUUUGGAUGACAUUGAAAAUACUGACAUGUGCGUGCAUAUGCAGGAGAGAGUAUCAAUUCGAGAAAUAUAUGUGUACCAAGAUGGUGAGUCUUAGUUUGCUUUUGUUGCUAUAAGUGUAAUUACCUGGGUAAUUUAUAAAAGAAAGAAAUUUCUUUCUUACAGUUUUGAAGGCUGAAAUCCAAGAGCAUCGAGCCAGCAUCUGCCUGGCAUUUAGUGAGGGUCAUCUUAUUGUAUCCUAACUUGGCAAAGAGUAUCAAAUAGUGAGACAGAGCAAGGGUACCAGGUGGGGGCACUCCUCCUCUUCUUAUCGCUAUCAUGGGGCCCUACCCUCAUGACCUCAUCUAAUCCCAGUUCCCACUGUUAUCACAUCUAAAUCUAUUAACAUUUGAAUUUGGAGACUAAGUUUCCAACACAUUUAGGAAGAUACAUUUAAUCCAUAGCAUAGAUUUAUGAACCAAACAUUAAAAGAUAAGAAAGAUAUCAAAAAGGUAUAGAGUACAGAAGGAAAAAAAAAAAGAAAUCCCUUCUAAUAAUAACCAGUGAAUUUAGGAGGCAUUUCUUAGUGACAAACCAUGUGCUAAUGCUUCAUUUACAUUUUAUUCACUUAAUACUCACAAAAUUCUAUAAAUUUGGUUUGUUGUGAUCCCCCUUUACAAAUAAGGAGAUGGAUUCUCGUAGAUGUUCAUUAACUUGCCCCAGGCCACAAAAGUAAGUGAAUGGUGAGAGGCCUUUGAUGCCAACAGUGUUAAGUGACAUGCCCAGGAACCUAACCACAUCACAGCAUGUGGAAUCAACACAAGAAGAUGAGUCUAGGUGUGAAGAAAGGCCUUCAAUUCAUUGCAGCCUAAAUAGCCCAAGUUAGUUAGAGCAUAGUAUCUUAAAAGAGAAGAAAUGAAAAGAAAGGUUGGCUAAAUAGGGGAAUGAAACCCCUGGGGUGAUAGAGAACAGGUAAUGCAUUUGGGGAAUUGUAUGUAGUUUAGGUCAAAUGGAGCAUGGGUAGUGGUAGGGCAGAUCCUGAAGGGCUUAGACCGCCAACUUAAGUGUUCAGAUUUCAUUUUAAGAGCAGUAGGACCCUGGAGUAGGUAUUACUCAUGUUCACCAGUGUCUGUCUCUCUCUCCUCUCCUUCCUGGGCACAAGUAAGAGUAUGCUCCCUAGAACUCUUGCAACUGGGAGAGGGUUUGUCACUAUUUUUGGAAACUAGAUUGCAAGUACAAAUAUGGACUAUAAUUAAGGUUCAGGUCCCUCACCCCAAAUAUAUACAUGUUCUAACCAAAGAAUCUUUGAGUAUGGGACCUCACAUGGAUAAAGUAGCUUUACAGAUGUGAUUAAGGACCUUGACAAGGGAUGCUAUCCUGGAUUAUCCAAUGGGCCUGAUGUAAUUGUGAGGGUCUUUAUAAGAAAGAGCUAUGAUGACCUAAUGACAGGGGAAAGAAGAGAAAGAAAGAGGGAGAGAGAGAAGGAGAGAUAUUUAAAGAUGCUAUAAUCCUGGUUUUGGUGAUAGAAGAUGGGCCCUGACUGAAGAAAUAUAUGUAGCCUUUAGAUGUUAGAAAAAAAAAAAAAGUAGAUCAUCUCCUGAAGACCCCAGAAGGAACCAACUUACACCUGAACUUUUAGCCCAAUGAGAUCCAUUUGAGACAUCUGAUUUCCAAAGCUCCAAUAAAACUGAUUUCAGUUGCUCUAAGCUUUAUCAUCAUGUUAAUUUGUUACAGCAGCAGUAGGAAACUAAUGCAUAUACUGAAGUAAGGAAUAUUUGAAAAGAUUUUGUACCCUUCUCUUUCUCCCAGCAUUGAACAUGGAAACCCUGUUAUGUCAGAACUAUAAAACUGACUCAAUAAUUUUUUGCUUUUUUUUGUGUGUGUGUGUGGUACUAGGGAUAUGCAACCCAGGGCCUUGCACAUGCUAAGCAAGUAUGCUACCAUUGAGCUACCCCAGGCCCAGAACUAUGAAACUGACCCAGUCUGGAUUGAUGAUUAGGACAGCUAUGUGUGAGAAUACCUGAUCUAGGCAUGAGUGAAAGAUAAACUUUAUCUUAAAUUAUUGAGAGUUUGGCUUUGUAAUAGAAGCCUUAGCCUACCUUAUCUUAACUGACAUAAAGCUACUGAUGACUCUUAAGUAGACAAGUAACACAGGCAGAUGUGCAUUUUUGUUAUAAUAUUUAUGUUAGCUGGGGUGUGGGUAUAUGAAAAAUGGAUAAGUCUUAGUGGAACAUGAUAAGCCUGUAGGAAAAAGAUAACCAUAACUAAAUUGGGAUGUGGAUAAAGAAAAAAGGACAGUUUGGAAAACAGUUUUUUGAAGUCAAGUCAACAAGAUACACUGUUGAAUUGAAUAUGGGAGUUAGGGAGAAGGAAGGGUCAAGCAUGGCCACGUUUCUUGUUUGGGUAGUGGAUAGUGGUACAAAUGACUGAAAAGGAUGACAUAAUUAAUUUUGGUUUGGUUACAGAUUUCUACAGACUAUCUGCAUGAAGGUAUAUUGUAGGAAGUUGAAUAUAUAGAUAAGGAGUUCAGUGAGUACUCUUAAGUUUGGGGCCAGAUUUGGAAGUAGUAAGUAUAUGAAUGGUAAUUAAAUCCAUUUGUUGAUUCAAUUAAUAUUUAAAUGUUUACUCUGUGCAGAGCCCUGUUCUGGGCACUGGAGAUUUAACAGUGAAAAAAAAAAAUUACUCAUUGCAGCUUGCAUUUUUAUUGAUGAUCAAUUUUUUCUGCUAAAGUUUUUUUUAUUAUAAUAUAUAUGUAAUACCCAGUAAUUGAAAAAGAUAAUCAGAUUAAAAACCAUCAAGUAUAAAGAAUUUUGAAAUGAUGACUAAUAAAAUUGAUAUAGUUUUUGUUGUGUAGAACAUUGCUCAAGCAGCGAUAGAAUGUUUUGUUUUGUUUUUCCAGUACAAUUGGAACUGUUUCAGCUUUUGCCAGUGGAGCUUUAAAGGUUGUUGUUUGAAUCUUUUCACCAUGACCUUAGCAGUGUUGGACAACUUCCUUGAUAAGUAAUAUGAUAAAAUAUUUCAAAAUCUUCUUGUAUACUCUCUGUCCCAGACAUUUUGUUUUGUUUUAGUGAGAUGGUAUUUUUGAAUGAAACUCUGGGUGGAAAAGGGUUAUUGUUCUUUGGUUAGUAAUGAUUUUGACCCCUUUUUAUUAGACUAAACUAGGCAUUAUUUUUAAAGGUAAAUUCAAUAAAAAUCCCUACUGUAUCUUCCAAUUUAAAAUCAAGGCUAGCGUUUUACUUAGCCCCUUCUAUCUAAUACCUAAAUCCACUUCUUCCUCUUCUAAGGAUGACAAUCCUCACUUUGAGGACACAGGGAUAAUUGAACCAGACCAUCACACAUAUAGAAUAGCCCCCAAACAAACUCUCACUAACAAAAUGCUCUGGUUCUACCAAUGUGAGAGUCUUAAUAUUAUUUUUAAAAAUGGUAAAAAAUAGGGAGAAGGGUCAGGUUAAGCAUUUACCUUGCCUUUCCAAUAUUGUAUCAUUGAACAGUUAAUUUAUAGAGAAGGCUAAGUUUCUUUUUUUUCAAACAGAAAUGUUCUAAGAAAAAUGAAGGAAUAAUAAAGCUGAAAUAUUAUCUCUUCUCUUCUUCUCCCUUCCUCACCGAUCCCCACUAAUGAUCAACACCCUGAGCAUCAAUAACAGCUUAUAAAAUUAAAAGAUAGAUACAGCGUGUCUCAUGGUAGGAAAAUAUUCCAUCUAUCAUGUAGUCCUGUAUAAAACAAAUCUGAAUCUGAUAAUUCCUUAGAUCUAACAGCAGGAACAAUAGAAAAUGUGGGAACCUUCUAAUGACAACAUAGAGAUGCCAUUAGCAAAAUCUAGAUGGAGAGAAACUCUGAAGAUCUCUAAAGAUUGAAUGACUCAGUCUUUUUUAUUAUUACCUAUUAAUUAUAUGAAUAAUGGGUUUCAUUGUGGCAUAUUCGUACAUGCAUAUAACAUACUUUAAUUAUAUCUACCCUCUAUUACCCUUCCUUCCCCUCCCAUCCCCCUCCACCAUUCCUUCCUCUUAUCUAAUAAUGAUUCAGUCUGACUUAUAAAUAUCAAGAGAAUAAAAUGGAGACACUAUUGAUUAAAACAGACUCAUCAAAUUCAGUGUGCUAAACUGGCAAAAGAAGGGGAAAGAAUUGAAGAAUUAUCUUGGGUUUUCUUUGGAACAAACACAAGAGUAGACUUUCUCCUCCCUGUUUCUGGCCACAGCACCUGCCUUCUGUCGCUUGUCAGCAUAUAUUUUGGUUUUUGGCAUGCAUUUUGAACACUGAAUUAACUCCAUGGACUUUUUUCUUUUUUCCCAAUUGAUGAAGACUUCAUAAUGCUAAUCUGCUAUUAAUGAUAACAAUGAUGGUAAUAAUAGCAUGACAAGUUUCUUGAGUGCUUCUCAUGUGCAAGGAGCUGUGUAUUAUCUCAUUGACUGUCCAAGAGAUGCUAAUGGGGGUUCUUUGUUAUUCCUAUACUACAGAUGAGGAAACAGAGGCUUUGAGAACUUGGGUGAUCCCACUGCCAAUAUCAAGCUAGAGACAUACAACCGAGAACAUGAUUCCCUGCCCAGGAAGGCUACCUUCUCAAGUAUUUAAUUAACAAUAAAUGUAAAGAAAAAGAUUGCCUUUUUGGUUACAUGCUCUCCGACACCAUAAAUAGAGUCAAGCAAUUCCCUAGCCUCUAAUAUGAAUGAUAUGAAUAGGAAAUACAAUGAAACAGGCACCCCUUUCAGCUGAGGGAUCCGUGACUUUCAUGUAGACUGGAGUUCUGCUUUAAAUGGUUUACCAUUUCAGGAUUGCUUCAGGGAUCCUGGUGGUAGCGAGGAAUGUUUUAGUCUAAUAAUAUUAACCUGAAUAUAUAAAAUGUGCUAUCUAGGGACCUGAUGUACUUUUGCAUUAGAGAAUAAGAAAGGGGAAAAAAUUUAAAAACUAGAGCAGAGAGGUAGAAAGGUGAAGAGGAAAAUAGGUUAUGGAAAUGAGAAGUCAGAUUGGGAAAUAAGCUUGAUGAAUAAUUAGUGAGAGGAGGGGGUAGAUGUAAGGCUGGGCUUACUUUGCAAAUUGCAUACUACAUGGAACUUGGAAAGAUACCGCAAGCUGUAAAAAGUUUGUUUUUUUUUUUUUCAGAUCGUUAAUGAAACCAUUUAAACACUAGUAAUGUGUUUUAGAAGCCUGGGAGGCCACUGCACAGAUGAGAUAAAGACAUUUGCCUUAUGCCUAUUUAACACCUGACUUCUGGGUUUUGGCAUUCAACUAUGGCUCACUGGGAAUCAUUUGGACGAUUCUGGCAAUUAUCUCAGACUCUACUCUAUUCAGCACACAUCAGAAUUUGUCAAUGUUGUAUCAAGAUCCUGUUGUCAUGGAGGGGGACUUAGAAAAUGAGAAUAAAUUAGAAUCACUGAUCUCCAACAGCUUUUCUUGAAUCUGUGAGCCAGCUAGCCCUGGGAGUACAGUUGGUAAAUGGAAGCUUAGGCUGUGUAUUAAAUCAUACCUAGGUGUGCUUUGAAAUGGUACCUACAUGUUCUUUGGACCCUUUUAAAAUUUUGUUUUAAUUAAAUUGAAUAUUAAUUCUUAUAUUGAGUGCAUGAAUUAUAGAUAAUGUUAGCAAACUAAUAAUGACAACAUUUUGAGCACCAAAAAUACUGGCUUAGGUAAACUUUAAGAUAUGAAUGAGAAUGACCAAGGGUGAAAUGGGACUACUAAUUCAAAACUCAAAUAAUGCUAAUUGAAAUCUCUUUUCACAUGGGCCACAUAAAUCACUGUCCGUGAGUCCUACCCCUCUGUCAUACAUUCCAGUUUUUACUGAUAUCUUUGAUUAUAGGCCUGAUUGCUUAAAAAUUCAUAGCCCAGAGAUGAAGAGGUUGUGUUUUUCUCACCUCUCUCUACUCCUCUACCAAUAAUUCGGCAUUUAUUAAAAGGUGAUGUGAUAUGAUAGUUUCUGUAGGGGACUUGAUUUAUUCUUGGCCUUGAGUUCUCUCCACCCCAACCCCGCCACACACCACACACACCAAAGAUGAAGAAUAUUAUGAUUUGGAUAUGAGGGGUGUCCCCCAAAAAGCUCAUAUGUGAGACAUGUUAAGAAAGUAUAGAGGUGAAAUGAUUGGGUUAUGAGAGCCUUAACCCAAUCAGUGAAUUAAUCCCCUGAUGAGAUUCACUGAUUGGUAACUGGAGGUGGGUCCCUGAAGGUAUGACUUGGGGUACAUGUUUUGUAUCUGGCAAGUAGAGUCUCUCUGCUUUCUGAUUGUUGUGAGAGCUGCUUCCUUCUACCACACUUUUCCGCCAUGUUGUUUUGCCUCACUUGGAGCCCCUAGGAAUGGAGUUGGCUGUCUAUGAACUGAGACCUCUGACAUUGUGAACCCCCAAUUAAACUUUUCUCCUCAAAAAUUAUUCUUCUUGUUGGUUCUUUUAGUCAAAGCAAUGAAAAAUCUGACUAAAACAGAGAAGAAGUAGAAUCGACGGCUUCUGGAAUACUAUGGUAGUUGUUUCCAUACCAGUUUGUGUACUUGGUUUAUGGACCCAAUAACCUCAUGGAAUAACAAGGCAAACUGGAUACCUUAGGGGCCCAAUAAAUGUAGUUUGUGAUUUUAUCAAAUGUAGGCACUAUUCUUAGAAUGCUGUAUCCAAACACAUAAAGUUCAACUCAGGUAGUCACUGUUUUCCCUUGGCUCUGACUUGAGCCUUGUCUACUUGGAUUGUUUUAUAGAACAACAGGGCUCCACCCUGAAGUCCAGCAGCUCAUAUAGGAUUUCCUCUCUGCAAGGUCAGAAAUCAUUGCAUUUACAAUUGUGGUAAUUUAUUAUGUUAAGACUCCUCCACCCCAUAAACAAGAUAAUUUAAAACACAUUGACGUAAAUUAACAAAAGCUAUCCCACAUAAAUAAGUUUCAGAGAGGUUCUUAAAGAGAUCUCUGCUUAUUUGUGAACCUGAAAGUAAUUUUUAUAUAAUUCCUUUACUUUUGUUGUCAUUCUCAAAAUUAUUUAAGCAUUUAAUAUAUAGACA